rnacentral:rRNA from 1 species
GAUGAACGCUGGCGGCGUGCUUAACACAUGCAAGUCGAACGAAGCACUUUGAUUUCUUCGGAUUGAUGAGUGACUGAGUGGCGGACGGGUGAGUAACGCGUGGGUAACCUGCCUCACACAGGGGGAUAACAGUUAGAAAUGACUGCUAAUACCGCAUAAGACCACAGUACCGCAUGGUACAGUGAUAAAAACUCCGGUGGUGUGAGAUGGACCCGCGUCUGAUUAGCUAGUUGGUGAGGUAACGGCCCACCAAGGCGACGAUCAGUAGCCGACCUGAGAGGGUGACCGGCCACAUUGGGACUGAGACACGGCCCAAACUCCUACGGGAGGCAGCAGUGGGGAAUAUUGCACAAUGGGCGAAAGCCUGAUGCAGCGACGCCGCGUGAAGGAUGAAGUAUUUCGGUAUGUAAACUUCUAUCAGCAGGGAAGAAAAUGACGGUACCUGACUAAGAAGCCCCGGCUAACUACGUGCCAGCAGCCGCAGUAAGAC